rnacentral:tRNA from 1 species
GUCCCAGUAGCUCAGUGGAUAGAGCGGCUGCCUUCUAAGCAGAUGGUCGCGGGUUCGAAUCCCGCCUGGGGCACCA